rnacentral:rRNA from 1 species
CGUGAGCGGUAGAGGAGCGUCGUAAUCGGGCUGAAGUCGUACCGUAAGGAGCGGUGGACUGAUUACGAGUGAGAAUGUUGGCAUUAGUAGCGAGAUGUAGGCGAGAAUCCUACAGGCCGAAUAUCUAAGGUUUCCUGAGUAAAGUUUGUCUUCUCAGGGUUAGUCGGGACCUAAGGCGAGGCCGAAAGGCGUAGUCGAUGGACAAUUGGUUGAUAUUCCAAUACCACUAUAAUCGUUAUUAUCGAUGGUGUGACGGAGAAGGAUAGGAUGUGCUAGCUAUUGGAUGCUAGUCUAAGCGUUUAGGGAGUUGGGAUUGGCAAAUCCGUUCCAACAAUUCUGAGGCGUGAUGGGGAAGGUUCUACGGAACCGAAGUAUCUGAUUCCAUGCUUCCAAGAAAAGCAUCUAGAGAGAGAAGUAGUGCCCGUACCGCAAACCGACACAGGUAGAUGAGGAGAGAAUCCUAAGGCCGACGGAAGAAUUGCAGUUAAGGAACUAGGCAAAUUGACCCCGUAACUUCGGGAGAAGGGGUGCCUGAGAAAUCAGGCCGCAGAGAAUAGGCACAAGCAACUGUUUAACAAAAACACAGGUCUCUGCUAAAGCGAAAGCUGAUGUAUAGGGGCUGACGCCUGCCCGGUGCUGGAAGGUUAAGGGGAACACUUAGUGGUAACGCGAAGGUGUGAACUUAAGCCCCAGUAAACGGCGGCCGUAACUAUAACGGUCCUAAGGUAGCGAAAUUCCUUGUCAGGUAAGUUCUGACCCGCACGAAUGGCGUAAUGACUUGUGCACUGUCUCAACUGCAAAUCCGGCGAAGUUGUAGUGCGAGUGAAGAUGCUCGCUACCCGCGAUUGGACGGAAAGACCCCGUAGAGCUUUACUGUAGCUUAGCAUUGAAUUUCGGUAUUGUCUGUACAGGAUAGGUGGGAGACUGGGAAACUAGGGCGUCAGCCUUGGUGGAGUCGUUGUUGGGAUACCACCCUGAUAGUAUUGAAGUUCUAACUGGAUGCCAUGAAACUGGUGACAGGACAUUGUUAGGUGGGCAGUUUGACUGGGGCGGUCGCCUCCUAAAAUGUAACGGAGGCGCCCAAAGGUUCCCUCAGAACGGUCGGAAAUCGUUCGAAGAGUGUAAAGGCAGAAGGGAGCCUGACUGCGACACCUACAAGUGGAGCAGGGACGAAAGUCGGGCUUAGUGAUCCGGUGGUACCUCGUGGGAGGGCCAUCGCUCAACGGAUAAAAGCUACCUCGGGGAUAACAGGCUGAUCUCCCCCAAGAGUUCACAUCGACGGGGAGGUUUGGCACCUCGAUGUCGGCUCGUCGCAUCCUGGGGCUGAAGUAGGUCCCAAGGGUUGGGCUGUUCGCCCAUUAAAGCGGCACGCGAGCUGGGUUCAGAACGUCGUGAGACAGUUCGGUCCCUAUCCGUCGCGGGCGUAGGAAAUUUGAGAGGAGCUGUCCUUAGUACGAGAGGACCGGGAUGGACUGACCUAUGGUGUACCAGUUGUUUCGCCAGAAGCAUAGCUGGGUAGCUAAGUCGGGAAGGGAUAAACGCUGAAAGCAUCUAAGUGUGAAGCCCACCUCAAGAUGAGAUUUCCCAUAGCAUAAGCUAGUAAGACCCCUUGAAGACUACAAGGUUGAUAGGUCAGAGGUGUAAGU